GGGUCUAUAGCAUAAUUGGUAGUGCAUCCGGCUCUUACCCGGAGUUGUGGAGGUUCGAGCCCUCCUGGACCUA
rnacentral:tRNA from 1 species